rnacentral:tmRNA from 1 species
GGGGGUGUACUUGGCUUCGAAUGGAGCGGAUACUUCUGUGGAGCAUGCCGAGGGGCGGUUUGCCUCGUUAAAAGCCGCAAAACAAUAGUCGCAGCAAACGACGAAACAUUUCUUGUUGCAGCCUAAUAAGCUGUAAACAAGCCUCUAUCCUAAGCUCCUGCUGGUGGGCUAUGGAAAAUUAGGGGUCAACUGUAAUCAGCUUACUUUAGUUUAGCCGCUGUUUUUGGCGAUUCUGAAGGACACUUAAUAAAAACAUAGGGACACCUAGGGCGGCUUCAGCCAAAGGGUAUUCUGAAAACUUGAAUGAAGCGAAGCAUGUAUAGCGCCGCAUUGGUUUACGUUUCAUGACGGGGGUUCGAAUCCCCCCACCUCCACCA